UGGCGUUAUCGGAUUACUGGGCGUAAGCGCACGCAGGCGGCUUUUUAGUCGGAUGUGAAAGCCCCGGGCUCAACCUGGGAAUUGCAUCUGAUACUGGGAAGCUAGAGUAUGUGAGAGGGGGGUAGAAUUCCAAGUGUAGCGGUGAAAUGCGUAGAGAUUUGGAGGAAUACCAGUGGCGAAGGCGGCCCCCUGGCACAAUACUGACGCUCAGGUGCGAAAGCGUGGGGAGCAAACAGGAUUAGAUACCCUGGUAGUCCACGCCGUAAACGAUGUCUACUAGAUGUUCGUGGUCUUGUACCGUGAGUAUCGCAGCUAACGCAUUAAGUAGACCGCCUGGGGAGUACGGUCGCAAGAUUAAAACUCAAAUGAAUUGACGGGGGCCCGCACAAGCGGUGGAGCAUGUGGUUUAAUUCGACGCAACGCGAAAAACCUUACCUACCCUUGACAUGGUCGGAAUCCUGCUGAGAGGUGGGAGUGCUCGAAAGAGAACCGGCGCACAGGUGCUGC
rnacentral:rRNA from 1 species